rnacentral:rRNA from 1 species
GAUGAACGCUGGCGGCGUGCCUAAUACAUGCAAGUCGAGCGAACAGAUGAGGAGCUUGCUCCUCUGACGUUAGCGGCGGACGGGUGAGUAACACGUGGAUAACCUACCUAUAAGACUGGGAUAACUUCGGGAAACCGGAGCUAAUACCGGAUAAUAUAUUGAACCGCAUGGUUCAAUAGUGAAAGACGGUUUUGCUGUCACUCAUAGAUGGAUCCGCGCCGCAUUAGCUAGUUGGCAAGGUAACGGCUUACCAAGGCAACGAUGCGUAGCCGACCUGAGAGGGUGAUCGGCCACACUGGAACUGAGACACGGUCCAGACUCCUACGGGAGGCAGCAGUAGGGAAUCUUCCGCAAUGGGCGAAAGCCUGACGGAGCAACGCCGCGUGAGUGAUGAAGGUCUUCGGAUCGUAAAACUCUGUUAUUAGGGAAGAACAAAUGUGUAAGUAACUAUGCACGUCUUGACGGUACCUAAUCAGAAAGCCACGGCUAACUACGUG